CGGCAACAGCUCAAAUUUGAAAUCUGGCCCCAGGCCCGAGUUGUAAUUUGCAGAGGAUGCUUUUGGCGAGGCACCUUCCGAGUUCCCUGGAACGGGACGCCAUAGAGGGUGAGAGCCCCGUCUGGUCGGACGCCUAGCCUCUGUAAAGCUCCUUCGAC
rnacentral:rRNA from 1 species